AGGUUUCCAGAGUAAAGCUGAUCUGCUCUGGGUAAGUCGGGGCCUAAGGCGAGGACGAGAGUCGUAGCCGAUGGACAACAGGUGGAGAUUCCUGUACUGCGGUAUGACAGAACUGUGGGGACACGUAAGGAAAGCGGAAGCCGGGAAUGGAAAGCCCGGUGCAAGCGGGGUACCAGUCACUUUGGCAAAUCCGGGUGGCAAUGGGAAGCCGUGAUGCGGAGCGAAAUAAAGUAGCGAAGUCCGUGAGCCAUGCGUCAAGAAAAGCCGCUAUUGUUUAUACCGUACCCGUACCGUAAACCGACACAGGUGGAUGAGGAGAGAAUCCUAAGGCCGGCGGAAGAAGCAUUGUCAAGGAACUCGGCAAAAUGGCCCCGUAACUUAGGGAUAAGGGGUGCCUGGGAAACCAGGCCGCAGAGAAUAGGCUCAAGCAACUGUUUAGCAAAAACACAGGUCUAUGCGAAACCGAAAGGUGAGGUAUAUGGGCUGACGCCUGCCCGGUGCUGGAAGGUUAAGGGGAGAGGUUAGCGCAAGCGAAGCUUUGAACUUAAGCCCCAGUAAACGGCGGCCGUAACUAUAACGGUCCUAAGGUAGCGAAAUUCCUUGUCGGGUAAGUUCCGACCCGCACGAAAGGCGUAAUGAUUUGAGCGCUGUCUCGACAAUGCAUCCGGUGAAAUUGAAGUACCAGUGAAGAUGCUGGUUACCUGCGCCAGGACGGAAAGACCCCAUGGAGCUUUACUCCAGUCUGGUACUGGGACUCGGUAUUGCAUGUACAGGAUAGGUGGGAGGCUAGGAGAUGGUAACGCCAGUUGCCAUGGAGCCGCUGUUGGGAUACCACCCUUGCAGUAUUGGGUUUCUAACCAGCCGCCGUGACCCGGCGGUGGGACAAUGCCAGACGGGGAGUUUGACUGGGGCGGUCGCCUCCGAAAGGGUAUCGGAGGCGCCCAAAGGUUCCCUCAGAAUGGACGGAAACCAUUCGAAGAGUGCAAAGGCAGAAGGGAGCUUGACUGCGACACCGACGGGUGGAGCAGGUACGAAAGUAGGACUUAGUGAUCCGGUGGUAUAAAGUGGGAUUGCCAUCGCUCAACGGAUAAAAGCUACCCUGGGGAUAACAGGCUUAUCACUCCCAAGAGUUCACAUCGACGGAGUGGUUUGGCACCUCGAUGUCGGCUCAUCGCAUCCUGGGGCUGUAGUAGGUCCCAAGGGUUGGGCUGUUCGCCCAUUAAAGCGGUACGCGAGCUGGGUUCAGAACGUCGUGAGACAGUUCGGUCCCUAUCCGGCGUGGGCGUAGGAUAUCUGAGAGGAGCUGUCCUUAGUACGAGAGGACCGGGAUGGACGGGCCGCUGGUGCAUCGGUUAGACUGCCAAGUCUACGGCCGAGUAGCCAAGCCCGGAAGGGAUAAACGCUGAAGGCAUCUAAGCGUGAAGCCCCCCUUAAGAUGAGAUAUCCCAUUCGAAAGAAGUAAACCCCCUUGAAGACGACGAGGUAGAUAGGGCAGAGGUGGAAGUGUGGCAACACAUGGAGCUGACUGUUACUAAUCGGGUGAGGGCUUGACCA
rnacentral:rRNA from 1 species